rnacentral:rRNA from 1 species
GACGAACCGUGCGAACGUUAUUCGGAAUCACUGGGCUUAAAGGGCGCGUAGGCGGGCCGACAAGUCAGGGGUGAAAUCCUCCAGCCCAACUGGAGAAGCGCCUUUGGUACUGUCGGCCUCGAGGGGUGCAGGGGCAUGCGGAACUCAGGGUGGAGCGGUGAAAUGCGUAGAUAUCCUGAGGAACACCGGUGGCGAAGGCGGAUCUCUGGGCCUUACCUGACGCUCAGGCGCGAAAGCUAGGGGAGCGAACUGG